CCANGAAGGCAGCAGGCGCGUAAAUUACUCUAUGCCAACGCGGCGAAGUAGUGACGAAAAAUAGGACUGGGUAGCGCUUUGCGUUAUCUUUGUCCAAUGAGAGCAAUGUAAAAGCCUCAUCGAGGAUCCAUUGGAGGGCAAGUCUGGUGCCAGCAGCCGCGGUAAUUCCAGCUCCAAUAGCGUACACUAAAGUUGUUGCAGUUAAAAAGCUCGUAGUCUAAUGUAUGGGAGUUGCGGUGUGGGUGUUUGGUUGGUUUUGCCGACUAGACAAUACUCGCUCCGCUUCCCGCUUGUUUUGCUCUCUUUUAAAAAAGGAAAAUGUUUCGCUGUAAAAAAAACUCCUCCCUCAACAAGGAGGUCUUGUUGAUAUGAAUUAUGGGGGGAUGAUAAGAGAGGCUCGGUCCUUUUUUUGUUGGUUUUGGUGUGAUAAUGAUGAUGAAGAAGGACAGUUGGGGGUAUUAUUAUUUGUUGUAAGAGGAGGAAUUCUAGUAUUUAGGAACGACGAACUGCUGCAAAAGCUUCUACCGAUGAUGUUUUGAUGAUCAACGAACGAUUUGGUGAGGAUCGAUGAUGAUUACNCCAUCCU
rnacentral:rRNA from 1 species